UGGGGAAUAUUGGACAAUGGGCGAAAGCCUGAUCCAGCCAUGCCGCGUGUGUGAAGAAGGUCUUCGGAUUGUAAAGCACUGUAAGUUGGGAGGAAGGGCAGUAAGCGAAUACCUUGCUGUUUUGACGUUACUCGCAGAAUAAGCACCGGCUAACUCUGUGCCAGCAGCCGCGGUAAUACAGAGGGUGCGAGCGUUAAUCGGAUUUACUGGGCGUAAAGCGUGCGUAGGCGGCUAAUUGAGUCGGAUGUGAAAUCCCCGAGCUUCCCUUGGGAAUUGCAUUCGAUACUGGUUAGCUAGAGUGUGGGAGAUGAUGGUAGAAUUCCAGGUGUAGCGGUGAAAUGCGUCGAGCUCUGGAGGAAUCCCGAUGGCGAAGGCAGCCAUCUGGCCUAACACUGACGCUGAGGUACGAACGCAUGGGGAGCAAACAGG
rnacentral:rRNA from 1 species